ACCCGCUGAACUUAAGCAUAUCAAUAAGCGGAGGAAAAGAAACUAACAAGGAUUCCCCUAGUAACUGCGAGUGAAGCGGGAAAAGCUCAAAUUUAAAAUCUGGCGGUCUCUGGCUGUCCAAGUUGUAAACUAGAGAAGUGUUAUCCGUGCUGGACCAUGUAAAAGUCUCCUGGAACGGAGCGUCAUAGAGGGUGAGAAUCCCGUCUUUGACAUGGACUACCAGUGCAUUGUGAUAUGCUCUCAAAGAGUCGAGUUGUUUGGGAAUGCAGCUCAAAAUGGGUGGUAAAUUCCAUCUAAAGCUAAAUAUUGGCGAGAGACCGAUAGCGAACAAGUACCGUGAGGGAAAGAUGAAAAGAACUUUGGAAAGAGAGUUAAACAGUACGUGAAAUUGUUGAAAGGGAAACGCUUGAAGUCAGUCACAUUGGCUGGAGAUCAACCUUGCUUUUGGAAGGUGUACUCUCUGGUUGAUGGGUCAGCAUCAAUUUUGACCAUUGGAAAAAGGUUAGGGGAAUGUGGCAUCCUUGGAUGUGUUAUAGCCCUUGAUUGUAUACAGUGGUUGGGAUUGAGGAACUCAGCACGCCGCAAGGCCGGGUUUUACCACGUUCGUGCUUAGGAUGCUGGCAUAAUGGCUUUAAUCGACCCGUCUUGAAACACGG
rnacentral:rRNA from 1 species